rnacentral:tRNA from 1 species
GGGAUGUGGCUCAGUGGUGGAGCGCUUGCCUAGCAUGUGUGAGGCACUGGGUUCAAUCCUCAGCCCCA